rnacentral:rRNA from 1 species
UACAGAGGGGGCAAGCGUUAUUCGGAAUUAUUGGGCGUAAAGCGCGCGUAGGCGGACCUGCAAGUCGGGGGUGAAAGCCCGAGGCUCAACCUCGGAACUGCCUUCGAUACUGCGGGUCUCGAGUCCGGGAGAGGUGAGUGGAAUUCCUAGUGUAGAGGUGAAAUUCGUAGAUAUUAGGAAGAACACCAGUGGCGAAGGCGGCUCACUGGCCCGGUGCUGACGCUGAGGCGCGAAAGCGUGGGGAGCAAACAGG